rnacentral:piRNA from 1 species
UCCNGGUUAAACUGUUGAGUUGUGGCUUCA